GUUAGGAAAUGGCGAAUCGGAAUAGUGGGAAGAGGACUCAACACUGAGCUCAGGAGGACUGAGAUGCAUGAUAAUUACCAGAGGGGUUAUAAUUACAUUCGCAGCAUCAGCCGUAUAUAAUGGUGUUUUGUGUCACACACUUCGGGGAUUAGUUACAUAAAUGUGCCAGUGUGCUAUGAUUUUAUUGAGUCAAUCGGACUGAGGAUUAACCCCAAUAUCAAGAAUUCAGAUGGUGUGGAUAAAGAAAUCUUAGGUACCGCCUCCAACCGGAAAGUGCAGGACAAAGAAUUAAACUCAAGGAGACAGUCUAUGUAAACCAGAUGUUCUCACCACGUUCAACACAUUCAACAGGAUCCCUCCAUUUGUAUCCAGAAGGGCGCCUGCCACACACCCUCUUCAGUUAGCAGGAUAAACAUCUACCCUGUUCUAAGCAGAUGUCCCAGCACACUGAGUCUGCACAUCUGGGAAACAUUGCUGGCUAACACGUCGUUCCAACUGUGAGCUGCUGGCAGGAGUUCCUGCUACUCAGGCUUUUGGUAUUUAUUGGGAGAGCCCUGAAGAAAGCGUGCAAGGAUGCCCAGAGAGAGGCCUGGAAAAUCCUUUGGAGCUUCACAGCUGGGCUCCCCGCUGCAAGGCUGGCAUCCUAUUUGGGCAGUGAGCCUUAGAGUCUGAUGGAGAUGGAAAGGCUAAGGCCCAGACCCUGUUACUGAAAGACUUCCAGAUUCUUCCAGUAUCCAGCUUCCGUGCUGAUGAGAAUUCAUGAGUCCGCCGUGUCUCCAAAACUUUCAAAAGUGCAGUCAAAUCAAUAAUGCUCAGUCCUGAGUAUGAUGGGUCUCAUCUAAAGCUGCUGUCGUUAGGCCUGGGCAGAAGGUACCUAAAUCUUGGACUAGGCUAAGGCUACAUCAUGAGACGUUAUCUCUAAGCAACAACACUAUACUAUUGAUAUAGAUUAAAUGGGUCUGUCUAACUAA